rnacentral:rRNA from 1 species
GACGAACGCUGGCGGCGUGCCUAAUACAUGCAAGUCGAACGCAGUGGGGACGGGUGAGUAACACGUGGGUAACCUCCCAUCAGAGGGGAUAACACUUGGAAACAGGUGCUAAACCGAUACUGAUGGAUGGACCCGCGGUGCAUUAGCUAGUUGGUGAGGUAACGGCUCACCAAGGCCACGAUGCAUAGCCGACCUGAGCGGCUGAUCGGCCGCACGAGGACUGAGGCACGGCCCAAACGCCUACGGGAGGCAGCGGGAGGGAAGCUUCGGCAAUGGACGAAAGUCUGAACGAUCGACGCCGCGUGAGUGAAGAAGGGUUUCGGGGCGUAAAACUCUGUUGUUAGAGAAGCGGUAUCUAACCAGAAAGCCACGGCUAACUACGUGCCAGCCGCCGCGGUAAUAC